UAUGAAUUUUCAGACUAAGCACCAUGCCGAACCUUCUCGUGGCCAUGACGGAAGACGCGAUGCACCGGAAGUUCACUGUGGAGGACGCAACCUCCCACUCUGGGCAGAGAGUCGUGUUUGAUGGUUACAUGGUCGACGUGAUGGAUUACGUCGCUCAGGGAGUAAAUUUCUCGUACAGUUUCGUCCAUGAUAACUCAUACGGCAUGAAGAGAGAAGAUGGUACUUGGACUGGAAUGGUGGGGCUGGUCUACAGAGGGGACGUAGAUAUCGGCCUUGGCCCAUUCACUGUGACAACUGAUCGUGCAAGGGCAGUUGAUUUCACUUAUCCCGUGGAGGUAACCUCAAGUCGCAUAUUGGCUGGACAGAAAAAAUUGGAGGUGGAUCCUUGGGGUUUCGCGCUGCCACUCAGCCCCAAAGUGUGGAUGGUAACAUUUAUCUCCCUCGUCAUUCUGCCUGGAAUCAUAUGUCUACUUAUGUUCCUCUUCAUUAGCAAGAAAGAAAUAAUUAGCCAGUGGAAUAAAUUACAGUUUGGUUUCCUUGUGAUGUUUCUUCAGGGAAGUGAGUGUUUCUCUCUCUUACUUACACACACACACACACAUACACACACAUCUGUGUCCAUGCACAG